rnacentral:rRNA from 1 species
CUACGGAGGGUGCAAGCGUUACUCGGAAUCACUGGGCGUAAAGCGCGCGCAGGCGGGCUGAUAAGUUGGAUGUGAAAGCCUACGGCUCAACCGUAGAACUGCAUCCAAAACUGUCAGUCUAGAGUCUGGGAGGGGAAGAUGGAAUUAGUUGUGUAGGGGUAAAAUCCGUAGAGAUAACUAGGAAUACCAAAAGCGAAGGCGAUCUUCUGGAACAGUACUGACGCUGAGGCGCGAAAGCGUGGGUAGCAAACGGGAUUAGAAACCCUAGUAGUCC